UACGGAGGGGGCUAGCGUUGUUCGGAAUUACUGGGCGUAAAGCGCACGUAGGCGGCUUUGUAAGUUAGAGGUGAAAGCCCGGGGCUCAACUCCGGAAUUGCCUUUAAGACUGCAUCGCUAGAAUUGUGGAGAGGUAAGUGGAAUUCCGAGUGUAGAGGUGAAAUUCGUAGAUAUUCGGAAGAACACCAGUGGCGAAGGCGACUUACUGGACACAUAUUGACGCUGAGGAGCGAAAGCGUGGGGAG
rnacentral:rRNA from 1 species